GCCAGGGGGGGGGGGGGGGGGAUUUUUUAGGUGGUCUCUCUCUCUCCGGGUGUCAGUAUCAGCACUUUGCUGGUCCUCGGAGCCCCUCGGGUGGCAAAACUGUCGCCACUUGCGGAACCGCACGCCAUUUCCUCGGUUGAGCGGUUUGAUUUGGGGAAAACGUGGCGGCCUCCUCCUACCGCCUCCCGGUCCCGGUCUCCAGGACGCGAGAACAAGCCGCUCCCGUCCGACCUCCAGCCGAGGGGAAUGUUUUGCUCCAGCUCGGUGGCUCUCUCUUUCUCUGCCUCCCUCCGUCUUUUUCCCCACCUCUUCCCGUAAAAAAACGACAUCUCGACGUGAGGGCUGACGAUACGAGCUCACGACGCGUGUCCUCGACGCGACCCAGACGGACCGCACGGGAUUAUCGCGUGUUCCCCAUCGGAAACGCAAGACAGCCAAUUACGACAGUCUAGAAGUCUUGUUGCACCACAGUGCCUCCCACAGACAACGUGAGUCAGAGACCCGACCUGACCUGACCUGAAGGCUCCGGCGACUAUCAGGAUAAAAAGAGAGGAAAGAGCGAGAAGAAACAG